rnacentral:lncRNA from 1 species
UACCUAAGCGCAUGCUGGAAGGGACAGUCAGUCACCAUCACCACCAGCAGCUUGGACCUUAUCCCUGUUCUGAGUGAAUGGGAGGUAGAGAGAAGAUGGAGAAGAGCUCGGCUCUAUGAAGCUGAGGAGAUGAUGAUCUCGGGGACUAGACAUCUCAGGGACACUUUAGGCACAGGCUCAGAGUGCCACAGCUAGGUGACAUCAGACAGCACCUCCAGUCCAACGUCCCACUGUACAGAAGAAGAAACUGGGGCCCAGAGAAGUCCACACUCUGGCCCUGGCUCAGCAUCACCCAGGAACUUGUUUAGAAUGCAGCCUCUCGGAAUUGCCAGCUGAUUUGUACG